UACGGAGGGGGCUAGCGUUGUUCGGAAUUACUGGGCGUAAAGCGCACGUAGGCGGCUUUGUAAGUUAGAGGUGAAAGCCCGGGGCUCAACUCCGGAAUUGCCUUUAAGACUGCAUCGCUAGAAUUGUGGAGAGGUGAGUGGAAUUCCGAGUGUAGAGGUGAAAAUUCGUAGAUAUUCGGAAGAAACACCAGUGGCGAAGGCGACUCACUGGACACAUAUUGACGCUGAGGUGCGAAAAGCGUGGGGGAGCAAACAGGG
rnacentral:rRNA from 1 species